rnacentral:hammerhead_ribozyme from 1 species
AUCCAGCUGAUGAGUCAUAAAUAGGACGAAACACGUGUCAAACUAGAU